CAGCAAUAUCUUUCAGGAGUGAAAGAGACAGAUGAAGAAAGUUUAAGAUAACUUGUGGCCAGUAGGCCUGCUUUAAAAUAAAUACUGAAGGAAGCUUUUCAGAACUAAGAAAAAUUAUACCAGACAGAUAUUUGGAACAUUGAGAAUGAAGGAAGAGCAAAGGAAAUGGUGACUAUCUAGCUUUAGGGGUACAAAUGAUUGUUGGUUACCUGGAUGAAUUGUAUAGCGGUGCAGUCUGGGGUUUUUGUGUACCUGUCAUCCUAAUAGUGUACACUGUAUACAAAAGGUAUUUGCUGAUUUGCUAGCUGUGGCUAAAAGGCUGAGAGACUGACCAGAGAUUUUACAAACCCAUGGAGCUCUGGGAACAAAAUUGGAGUUCAUGGCUUGUCAAAAUGAGAGACUUGAUAAACAUUGAGGAUUUCAGCAGAAAACUCCAAUAUUCUAUGCUCUGGGGUACACGUAAAGCCUUCACAAAGCUUUCACAAAGAGAAAAGCUCUCAUAAAGACUCAGGGCCAACUUUCAGUUAUCUUCAUCUCAGAGAUCUGCUUUACUUGAGUUGCCUGCAAAAUUAAAAAGUAUUGCCUCUGCAGAAAGGCUGCAUCAUCCAGAGGCUCAAAUGACCUCUACAAUAUUCCAAGUACAAUGCCCAGCAUUCAAUAAAGAUAAACAGCCAUUGACUGGAUAUUUAGUUAAAGAAAACAAUGGAAACAGACUCAUGGGAAAUCUAGUUAUUAAAUAUGUCA
rnacentral:lncRNA from 1 species